rnacentral:lncRNA from 1 species
GCUGCAGCACCUACCUCGGCCAGGAGCACCCCCAUGCCCGGAGCUGAUUCUUACCCGCGUCCCGCACCAAGUAGCAGCAGCAACCCCGGUCGCCCUAAGAACCUGCAGGCCAGAGCCCUCUCCUCCUCUCUCGUCUAGUCUCUUUUCCUCUCCUCAAGAUCUUUUCCUCUUUCUGUGUAUAGUGCAGCAGCAGGAGAAAGCCAUGGCGCCCACUCUCGUGUCUGUCGGAGCUGUGCCCGAUGCCUACAGCCUCGGGAACGGGACCCCCUCGUCCGGUUAUGCCCGGCCCGCUGGCGAAGAUCCCCGCCGAAGCCGCCCCUGCAGUCUCUGAUGAGCUGAGCCGCCACAGCCUGCAUCCCGUCCUGGCAACAGAGAUAUCUCUGUUUCGUGAUUCAGUUUCGUCAGACUCGCCCCACGGUAUGGUUCAUCUGGCACAAACCCUGCAAUAUAUCACUCGAACAUGCAUAGGUCAACUGGCUUGUGACAACCGGUUCCAUCCCAGAGAUUUGGGGUUCGAAUCCCAGUAGCGCCAUAUUUAUUUUGCCAGCUUUUUCAUCAGUUUUUUCAUCAAAGUCGCUGUAAGGGUGCUUCACCUAGAGCAAUACUGCUUCUGUUAGCAUAAUUCUUGUGUAGCCAACUGGUUAGUCUGUUGUAUAGUGACCGUGAGGUCGUGGGUUCGAGUCCCCGGUGUGCCCUUUUGUUUUUCUGGUGUGUUAACUUGGUUCGAGUCAUAGCUUCCUUGCCUGAUGGCUCUACUAGUUCAACUUGCCUGAUGGCUCUACUAGUUCAACUUGCCUGAUGGCUCUACUAGUUCAACUAGCAUGGGCUAGCCCAGUGGCUGUGUGUGUGUGCGUGUCUGUAGGAGAGGUGCAGGUUUGAUCCCCCCACGUGCACAUUUUUUUCUUUUAUUUUGAGUGUGUGUGUUGUGCGUUCUAGGCCCACUUGCAUACACCAACUAGGGGCCCUGGUGUGCAUGGCCAGUGGGACCCCCUGACGAUGAUACGUAUAUUGUUUUCUGUAGUAUUUUUGAGGUAUUUCCAAAUCUGGAAUAUUCUAGAUGAGGAAUAUGCAAAAUCUGGCAUAUAAGAACAGCCCCGUGUUCUUGUUAAUAUCGGAGUUUGAUCCUGUGUAGUUUUCCCUUUGCUGUUCGUGGUGUUUUUCUUCAUGCAUUUAUAGCACUGUAAUAUAUGGAUUUGGGGUAGCAGAACCCAAGGAAUCCAAUGAAGACACUAGUUUCCAGUUCUGAGCAGUUCUACAGAAGUGUCACUUUGUGAUGAGGCGGCACUUGUUUACUGAUGCAGGAUGGGUUAAGUGCAUCAAUAGGGGUUGAGAAUCCAUGCAUCAUAUUGGGUAGUGCAUCCUCUUGUGCAUGUCGUGUGGUGAAUAUGUUUGUUGAUGCUUGUUUUCGGUUCCCUUCGUCUCGAUAGAGUUCUGCAAGCGUGUUGGAUUGUGAGGACCCGUUCGACUACAUCGGUUCGUCUGCUUCACCGAGUUGUUCUUCUUCCAAGCGGGAUCUCAGGCAAGAUGACCAUUUCCCCAGAUACCAUUACUAUCAUUGCCAUGCUAGCUUUACCGCCUCUAUCGAUUAUGUCUCGUUGCCUACCACAUGUUAAAUAUCAGCCUCCCAAUCAUGCCAUGAUAACCUUCAACCUGUUCGACCUAGCAAACCACUGAUUGGCUAUGUUACUGUUUGCUUAACCAUGUUGUUAGCGUUGCUAGUUGCAGGUGUAGUUGCUUCCAUGCGAAAGCAUGGGUUCCUUGUUAUAUCACCAUAUUAAUGCUAUUUAACUUAAUGGACCUAUAUACUUGGUAAAAGGUGGAAGGCUCGGCCUUUCUAGCCUGGUGUUUUGUUCCACCUUUCUAGCCCCCUUAGUUUCGGCUACCGGUGUUAUGUUCCAUAAUUGAGCGCUCCUAACACGAUCGGGGUUGUUAUGGGGACCCCCUUGAUAAUUCGUUUUAGAUUAAAGCUGGUCUGGCAAGGCCCAACUUUGGUACUACAUUUGCCUAAUCACCUAAUAAAAUUGCAUAGGGACUUCCCGGGCCCCGAGGAUAAUUUAAUCAACCCCCGGGCCAGUGCUCCUCAUGAGUGUUGGUCCCACCUGAGCAAUGUCCGGCGCCCCUCUGGUCACCCGGAGGUUUAGCGAUCCCGACGUCUAGCUCAUCCGCCGUGUCCUGAGAACGAGGUACGCGACUCCUAUCGGGAUCGUCGACACGUCGGGCGGCCUUGCUGGAUUAGUUUUACCUUUGACGAGAUAUCUUGUGCAUCGGGAUUCCGGUGACGCUUUGGGUAAUCUCAGAGUUGAGGUUUUCCACUAUGGAAUCCGACGAGAUCGCGAGCUUCGUGAUUGAGGAUUUAUAUGCGGCUUGUGGUAAUUUGUGAUGGACUAGUUGGAGCACCCCUGCAGGGUUAAAUCUUUUGGAAAGCCGUGCCCGCGGCUAUGUGGCAACGUGGAAACUUUGUUUAACACUGGUUCUAGAUAACUUGAAGUUAACUUAAUUAAAACAUGCCAACUGUGUGCGUAACCGUGACUGUCUCUUUCGUGAGUUCUUACUCCGAUCGAGGACACGGUGGGGUUAUGUCUGACGUAGAUAGGUGUUCAGGAUCAUUCAUUUGAUCAUCAGUAGUUCACGUCCGUUAUGCGUAGAUCUUCCCCUUCUUAUUUCUUGUACUCAUAAGUUAGCCACCAAAUAUAUGCUUAGCCGCUGCUGCAACCUCACCACUUAACCAUGCCUCACCCAUUAAGCUUUGCUAGUCUUGAUACCUUUGGAAAUGAGAUUGCUGAGUCCCCUAUGGCUCACAGAUUACUACAACACCAGUUGCAGGCACAGGUAAAGGUUACCCGACGCGAGCGCGUUGAUUGUUCAUUUAGAGUUGCUUCUUCUUCUUCUUCUUCAUCGAUCUAGGAUGGGUUCCAGGCCGACAGCCUGGGAUAGCAAGGAUGGACGUCGUUCUUCUUUUGUCGUUUGUUUUCGUCCGUAGUCGGACCCUGCUCUUUCUCUUGAUGAUUAUGUAAUGUACUGUCGUGACUCUGAUGUAGCUUGUGGCGAGUGUAAGCCAACUCUCUAUAUAUAUCUCUUCUUUUCAGUACAUGUACUUGUAACGAUAUCCAUUCUUGCGACACGACGAGAUGCGCUUCUAUCCCUGACGAGGCCCCCGUGCCAAAUUGAGGAUAUGGUCGCAUCUUGGGUAUGACAAGUUGGUAUCAGAGCCGUACCAACCUAGGAGCCCCCUUGAUUGAUCGAACUUGGCCGAGUCGAGUCUAGUGAAAAACUGCUUUGAGUCUAGUUAUAUAUCGGAGAGUAGAGUUCUUUUUUCCCCUCUUCUAUGCUCUGGUGAGGAAUCUUGACGUAAUAUUUUAAUUCUACUCGUCUUCUCACUCAAUUUUUUUUUAGGAUCACGCGGAUAUUCUUGCGAUCUAUAUGAUGCCGAUGUGACGGAGUUCUGUCUUGGUGCCUCCUAUCUGCUUUAAGUUUCAGGGGAGUUGAGCUCCAGGGUAUUCUCGAGCACAUCGUUAUCAUUCAGAUUUCUUAGUAUCUCAGAACGAAGGAUGUUCGUAAUUGCUUCAAUACUAGUAGUGGCGAGAUAACCCCGAUGUCCCUAGUACUGGUGCAGAUUGUUUGGGAGUACUGCCAUACUUUGUAUCAUUGUGAUCAUGAGGGUCUGUUGUAGAUGAAGGUCCGAGAUUCUGGUUGUGUGUUGACGGAUGUGAUACAUGUGAUGGGUUAGUAUAGGAGUUGUGUUAUUAUUACUCCUUGUAUCCGUGUACCGGAUUGCAUGACCAGAUAUUUCGGGAAUUCAUAGGUGGGAAUUCAAGUAGUUGCUUAUAGGACAAUCUUCCAACAAAUUCUUGAUGUUAGGUUGGGGUUCGACAUCUAGUGGAUUCGUUUGUUCACGGUCGACUUACAGCGGUACACGUUGUGUCUUAAAGAGUCCUUGUAGCUUGCUACGACUCGGGGACGCUUUGUAUGUCGGGUGCACUGCCUUGCACUUGAUGGCUACUGUAAGGAUCGAGCCCGUGCGAUCCUGUCCAUGAAAAUAUCGGACGAAAUCUUUCUCAUGAGUUUGUUCUGGCUUGUUUCAUAAGCCUCAUCCUUUGUUUUUUUGAAUAUGGUAAUUCAAGUUGCUUCGAUGUCAACUGGUGAUUUCAGAUCUUUCAUAAGAGGUGUUCUCAUAUUUUUAUGUCAAUGCUAAUUCUUUUGCUCAAUUAGACUGUCAUGUCAAUUCUUGUCAACCGGAGUCAUCGUAUCAAUUCCAUUCAACCGGUGUGCUUCUCUGCAACUGAAUUCAAUCUUAUCUAAUUUUGCAAGAUCAUUCUCUCUUUUAUUCCGGAGUUCAUCUCAUCUAGCCCAAGUUGUCUUUGUUUUUCCCCACCCUCCCGCCCUUUUUCUCAGUGAUUCAAUUUUCAUCGAAGAGUUUUCUUUCAUGUGCUUCCGUUAUCUGUUCUUUUCUCUCUUACCCGGUGAUUCAUUGUGAAGAUUCUUAGGAGCUUCAUGUUCAUCUUUAUUCAUUCUUGUGGUCUUUUCCCGGUGAAUUUAAUUCAGCUAUCCGUGUUCAUUAUAUCCUUUUUCAUCCUUUAAAUUCUUUCCUGUGUUGGAAAUUCUUUUCAGCCCAUCUUGUUAUUCAUUCUUCUCUUUCUAUUCGGUGUGUUGAAGAUAUCUCGGAAGUUUCGUGUUUUCUAUUCUUUAAGUAUUUCGAGGUUCUCAACCUCAUGUAGUUUUCAUUUGUACCGGUGCAUUCAAUCUGUCUUUCAAUCCUUUUAACGGUGGUUUAUUUGAGUGGCCCCAUAACCCACAGGUUUUUCCCAGGAUCUUUCCUGGCUCUUUUAAUCUUUUUCCGGAGAUCAUUAAAUCUUUCAACUAUGACGUAAGUUUGAUUUUUAUCAGUCAUAUCCCUUCUUCGAGAUCUAUUGGAAUUAAUUCUCAUAUUUGGCUCAACCUUGCAUUUCUCUUAUUCCGGAGUGUUUCAGCUAUUUUUGGUGUUGUUCCUCGUCAUCAUUCUCUCCAUUGAAAAUUCGAAGGAGUGUUUUUCUCGAAUCUUGGUCUAUUCUCUUGGAGAUUCGUCAUUUCAGCUUCGUGUUGUCAUCUUGAAUUUAUUUUCAAUCAUGAGUAAUCCCUUUCUUGCGAUCCGGUGCAUUUCUGAGUUGUUUUAUUUCUCGUUCCUCCGAAGGCCAUCAUUUCAGAAGACUUCUUCGUUCUCAGCUUUCAGCUUUCGUUCUCUAAUUCUUCUCAAUUGUUGUCUCUUCGUUCGUCUCUCGAUUAUCCGGUGCCUUGUUCAAGUUUUCUCUCAGGUGGCGCAUGAUCUCUUCAUUCUCAGAUGUUUCCAUGCAUUCUUGGAAUUUCCCAUUCAGUUGUGAAUUCUUACCGGUGCUUCCUUCAAUUAUGCCUCAAGUGGUGCUUAUCUCUCUGCCUCUUCAAGAUUCAUUUCUAGAGGAAUAAGUGUUAUGCUAAAUCCGUUGCUUGUCAUCAUCUAAACUUGAUGAAGGAUAGGCAUAACAUAAUUCUUAUUCUUGUUCUUCCUUCUUCCAAGGGAUUUCAAUUCUUCUUCCGGAGUGGCUCAUGAUAUCAAUUCCUUUUCUCAAGUGCUCUUAUCUUUUCUUUUCCGGAGUUCCAAGUUCUAUCAAGUUUCUCUUCGUGAAGCUUCAUCUAAAUCUUGGCAAGGUCAUAACCUUAUUCUUUUCUACCUUCAUAUCGUUGCAUCGUUCAUUUGUAUACGGAGGUCCUUCAUGGCGGUUCAUCAUGAUAUCAAUUCAUUCUCAAAGUGUUCUUCAAGAUUCUAUUGGAGAACCUCAAGUAUCCUUUGUCUUGCAUUUCUAUGUGCAGUUGUUCUUCCUUUAUCCUUUGCGGUGGUAUUAUAGCAUUCUUGUUAGUGUAGGAGCCUCGAAGAGAUUUCCUUUCAAGAAUGAGAUAAUUAAAUCCACCAAUCCUUUGAUCAUGAGAUUAUUCUUAACCCAUGAUUUCUUCAUUGAGCUAUCUUGGUUUGGAUUUCACCUAAAGCUUUUCCUAUGGAUUUCUUCUAUCAUGGUGCUUGUCAUUAAUCCAAGUUCUCAAUGUAUCCUCUUGGUGUAAGUAAUUGUUCAUAUCUUGUUUCUCCCAAUCAACCCUUGUUUCCGUUAGUGGCUGGUUGUCACUUCAUUAGUUUGAAAGGUUUCCUUAAGCCCACUACUAUCUUGUUCUUUUUGUUGUUAUUUUUUCAACAACUCCGUGCAAUUCUUCUUGCAAGGAUGCUUGCCAAGUUCAUUUGCGAUAAUAGUUGUCAUUCUCUCUUCAUUCUCUUCUUCCGUAUGAGCUAGUUCAUAUUCUCUUGUUCCGGAGGCAUUGUGAUGUUGCUCUUUGGGUCAAUCAUGUUAUCCUAUCAAGUUCAUGGUGUUCCCUUGUUCUAUUUAGUUGUUUGUUAUGUAUAUUGUCUAAUUCUCCUACCUUUUCGAAUUUUUGUCCCAUUUUCCUACCGAAGUGCUGCUGAAUUUUUCCGUGAAUUCUUGCUUAUUUCUCUUAUCAUUCCUCAUCUCUUUGCAACCUUGAAGGAUCGUUGGUUUCACUCGUUUGUCAAAGAAGCGACUAAAUUCUUACCUCAUGUUCUUUCUCAUCCUCUCCCCCUUUCAUUCUUGGAUCUCGGGGCGAGAUCCUCUUGUAGUGUAGGAGAGUUGUGACAGCCCGAUGCUGACGUUCCAGAAGAUUCCCCUUCUAUUCCGUUUUCGUCGUGUGCAUAUUUUCUUCUGUGGCAUCAUCAUCGCAUCAUGCACAUCAUCAACUUUGCAUCGGCAUCUCCGUGCCACCAGUUUUCAAAACUUGCAUCCGUUGUUAGUUGUCGAUUCUCGUCGUUGUUCGUUCCGAGUCCGACCGCACUCGCACGCGCCCGCGGCAUCGUCGAAACCCUGUUUUUAAAAGUGUGGGUAAAACUUUUUCAGCUUGGGGUGAGAUUUGACGUGCGGUGUUAUUUUAAUAUAGCUAGACCGCCUGUCGAAUUUCGUCGCGAUCGAAGUCCGUCUGGUACCCGAACGGUCGACCGUAGCGGCGCCGUAUUCGGUCUAUCGUCGGACGUUUUUUGGUAUUUUAAAAAUAUGUUGCGGGGUGCCCGUUUUCCCUCUCAUCUUCGCCUAGCCCCUCUGCACAGUGCGUCGACCCUACUCGCGGCCAGUCCGAAAACCUCCCGGAACCCGAACCCGGGGUUGUGACCGUUGGAUCCGGAUCAACCCCGUUAUACCGCAAACCGUCAUUGGUUUGUCCAUUGCACUCCCGAUCCUAAUUAUCUCGACCAUCCGAUAUAAAUCGGAGGGUCCAGAUGCCCCUAUACCUAACCCACUAGCUAUAUAUAGAAUACCCUUGCUCAUUUAGACCAGAACCCUAGAAAUUCUCCCCCUGUCCCAUCAGCGCCGCCGCCGCACACCACGUGGUCUCCUACCUCGUUUUCCUCCACCUACCGAUCACGCACCAGAUCCAUGCCGAGCCAAGCCAGAGCCAAUCCCCUCUUCCCUCCUUGAUCGGUUCCCAGCCAGCCCCGCACCUCGCCUCAGCCUGCUCCUCUUGCAUGCGUUGUUCCCGCUUCCCUCCCGAGCAGCCCGAGGAACCGGAGCCGCGGCCUCCCGGCUGUGUUCGAGCCGCAGCAGCAAGGUGACCGAGCCUAGCUGCAGGAGCAGCCGAGCCGCCCCAUGGGGCCUCGAUCCAACAGCUGCAGCACCUACGUCGGCUAGGAGCGCCCCCAUGCCUGGAGCUGAUUCUUACCCGCGUCCCGCACCAAGUAGCAGCAGCAGCAACCCCGGUCGCCCUAAGAACCUGCAGGCCAGAGACCUCUCCUCCUCUCUCAUCUAGUCUCUUUUCCUCUCCUCAAGAUCUUUUCCUCUUUCUGUGUAUAGUGCAGCAGCAGGAGAAACCAUGGCGCCCACUCUCGUGUCUGCUGGAGCUGUGCCCGACGCCUACAGCCUCGGGAACGGGAUCCCCUCGUCCGGUUAUGCCCGGCCCGCUGGUGAAGAUCCCCGUCGAAGCCGCCCCUGCAGUCUCUGAUGAGCUGAGCCGCCACAGCCUGCAUCCCGUCCUGGCAACACAGAUAUCUCUGUUUCGUGAUUCAGUUUCGUCACACUUGCCCCACGGUAUGGUUCAUCUGGCACAAACCCUGCAAUAUAUCACUCAAACAUGCAUAGGUCAAUUGGCUUGUGACAACCGGUUCCAUCCCAGAGAUCUGGGGUUCGAAUCCCAGUAGCGCCAUAUUUAUUUUGCCAGUUUUUUCAUUAAAGUCGUUGUAAGGGUGCUUCACCUAGCGCAAUACUGCUUCUGUGAGCAUAAUUCUUGUGUAGCUAACUGGUAAGUCUGUUGUAUAGCGACCGUGAGGUCCUGGGUUCGAGUCCCCGGUGUGCCCUUUUGUUUUUCUGGUGUGUUAACUUGGUUCGAGUCAUAG